rnacentral:misc_RNA from 1 species
GAUGAAGAACGUAGCGAAAUGCGAUAAGUAGUGUGAAUUGCAGAAUUCAGUGAAUCAUCGAAUCUUUGAACGCACCUUGCGCCCUUUGGCUAUUCCGAAGGGCAUGCCUGUUUGAGUAUCGUGAACACCUCAACUCUCAUGGUUUGCCAUGAUGAGCUUGGACUUGGGGGUUUUGCUGGCCUUCGGUCGGCUCCUCUCAAACGGAUCAGCUUUCCAGUGUUUGGUGGCGUCACGGGUGUGAUAACUAUCUACGCCUGUGGUUUUCUGCCAGAUAACCUUCAGCGAUGGAGGUUCGCUGGGGCUCAUAAAUGUCUCUCUUCAGUGGAGACAGCUUUUUGGACGUUUGAUCUCAAAUCAGGUAGGACUACCCGCUGAACUUAAGCAUAUCAAUAAGCGGAGGA